UACGUAGGGACCGAGCGUUGUCCGGAAUCAUUGGGCGUAAAGAGCGUGUAGGCGGCUAUUUAAGUCCUGCGUGAAAUCCUGCGGCUCAACCGCAGACGGUCGUGGGAAACUGGAUGGCUAGAGUGCGGGAGAGGAGAGUGGAAUUCCCGGUGUAGCGGUGAAAUGCGUAGAGAUCGGGAGGAAGGCCGGUGGCGAAGGCGGCGCUCUGGAACAUUUCUGACGCUGAGGCUCGAAAGCGUGGGGAGCAAACAGGG
rnacentral:rRNA from 1 species